GGCUUUGCAUCACAUUCCUUUCAAGCACUCCCAGAAAAUACAAUUAGGAAUAGAAACCCAGUUGCCGUUUCCACAGAUGCCUAAUCUGGAAGAAAAACAAAUAAUACUUCCUAUCUACAAGCUGCAUUAAUCAUUCAAAAUGAACCAAUUCAGAAUUUUGCUUGCCAGAUGUGCAACCCAUAAAUUGCAACCUCUGGUGAGACAUUUAUGACAACCCUGAACUAAAACACUGAUUUAUCAUCAACGAGAAGUUUGCAUUUUUCAUGCACCCCAAAAUCAAGAUGUUACACAAUCAUGGAAUAGCUAAGUGAUAAUAAUGGCAAGAACUUUCUCAUUUUUUUCAGAGCAUAAGUAACGGUGCCUCAUACAACUGACUAAGAUCACACAACGAUUUAACCCAGUGAACGCACAAGCCAGCCAAAUUGGUGUACCAAGCGAAUCAGAAGUGUGCCAAGCUAUAUACUAGAAUCCAUGAGAGCAGAAAGAGAGUAAUAGAAGCAAAAAGCCCCUCUUGAAGGAGAGCACCAUGACCACCAAAAUCUUCCUCGUCAACCUUUAAUAUCAUUGAAUAAUAACCAUAUAUAAUCCCAGAAGAUAUCAAGAGAAAACUGCCAUACCAAAAUCAGCAGCAGAACUUUAGCACAGAAUUCACCAUUGAAAUAGAAAACAACCAAGAUUUUUAGAAAUGCAAUCACAUGAAAUUUCCAUAUAAAAUGUUUACAUAUCUUCAUGUGUGUAUUGGUGCUUGGUGCAAUGUCAGUAUUCUGCAUUCCCAUUAGGUCAAACAUACAAUUUGAAUUAUUCCUACACAGGAAGCAGACAUUUUAGCUCACAUGAAUGCCAAAAAAACAAACUCAUCUACUCUAUUUACGAAAACUAGCAUCAAAUUGACAAUGCAAGUCUUAAUAUUGUCCACUGUGCCUAUGUAAGCUUGAUCUGUCCAAAGGCAAGAACUUGAACACCACUCCAAUUCAUCCUCCUAUUGCUAAGUUGCCCAUCUAAAGAUUCUAAACCACUCCAAUUCACCCUCUUACUUGUACACCACAGAGGGAAAACACUCCCCAUUGUGCAUCUAAACCACUCCUAUAAUAUCUACCUUCACCUUGUCCCAUUAUAUUUAAUGGUGAUCCCUAAUAAAAUUUCUUACACGGUUCACCUCAAUGUUACCUAGAGUGCAGUUUGUUAUGGGAUAAAAAUAUAUGUUCUCCAAAUAACUGUCUAACUGAAAAGAGAGGGAGAGGUGUUUCUGGGAAAAGAAUUUCAGUUUAGUUCAUUGCCCUGUUCUUGAAAAUUUAUAAUUAGGUGCAGUAAUAUGAAAAGGCAGUAAAUCAAAAUACGGAGAAAAAGGAAAGUAGGAAAUGAUUACAUUUUUAUUAGAAAUUUGUAUUGUUUAAAUCUGAAAUAAAUGAGGUGUAUGCAGAUUUAUAUCUGAGCAGUAAUCUUCUAACUAUUUACCAUGUAAUCUGAUUUAAGCCAUGUGUCCCUUAUUCUUUUUUAUUUAGGUCAUGUUCCCCUUAUAAUGUUGCUAUCAACACCGCCCGUGCCCCCCCUUUCCCUCUCCCCAAUUCUUUCCUUUCUCAAAGAUGAUUAAAAAAUCAAGCAAGAUUUGAAGAAUCAAGGUUCAUUGCCGUGAAUCACUGAAUCUGUAUAAUCAAGGGUCCAACUAAACAAUCUUCUGAACUUAAAGCACCAAAAUCCAAUUAUAAAAUCUUCAUUUAUCCUGCCAAUAGAGGGUCUUUCUGAAACAUUUUUCCUCACAUCAAGAAGCAUCACAUGAAAAGGUAGUGAGAAAAAAGUUGCAGAAGGAAAACAAUCCUAUUGACAGGUAGAUCUCCCACCUAUUUCCUAUGUAGCUCAAUUUUCGAGAGGCUAAUUUUCCUUGACACCAUUAGAUGGGAGAUUCACAUUACUGAUGCCUUUUGUGAACUCCCAAAGGCAAGCCCAUACAUGUAGAAAAGGCCCUCCAAACCAAGCAACUAACUUUCCAAGAACAUAUGAAGCCAACUUUAUAAUGCCCCAGUCCUCUACCCAUAAAAUAUGUUGCUCAACCAUCAAGCCCUAGCUAACUCUUAUAGAUAAUUAUGCAUCAGAUAUUCAAUUUAUUAUGAAAGAACUGUAAGCAUCCAUUUGGCUAGAACAGCUCCUAUAAGAACCAUAUUAUAGCCCCACGGAUUUAAACUCCACUUUCUUUUAUGCUCUUUUAACUCCUUCAAAUUCAACUGCAUCACAACUUAAAUAUGUGGAAAUCUUUGACUCGCAUGACCAAAACACCCCAUUUAAUACUUCAAGGACAUAAGUUAAGUUUAAUUUAAUGGAGUACCAAUGCAAGGAUCCAUAGGUAAAGCAUUUAUUCCUAUUUCUCAAAUAUCUAGAAUCUUGAGUAAAAAGUGAAUUCUUCCAGCUUAUUUCAGCUAAAACACUUGACUCUAGAGGUGUGUCUUCCUAGAUUAAUCCACAUGAUUCGGAACUAGAGCUUCAUUAACAAAAUUAACAUGAAAGCAUAAAAUUGAAUCCUGCCAACAUUAUUGCAUUUAGCUAGAACUAAUGCCGUGUUAUCAUCACAUGAAUGGCAACUUACAGCUAGCUCUAGCAACUCAUUUUAUAAUAUUCAAUUAACUAAUUAAUUUCAAAAUUGUGCAACUUUUUUGCACUUUGUGCUUCAAGAAAUAAAAAGACACAUAACCUUGACAACCUUAACCCUUUUCGUAACCCUUUUUAUUUUCAGAAAGAAUGGGAGAGCCUCCUUCUGGAGGCAUCCUCAACAGGCUAUUGGUUUAGCUAUCUAACCUAGAUACAACAAUCUGAUUUUGGUGAAGCUAAAUAAGGGCAUCUGAUUAUCCACUCAUAUCAUUAACUUUUCCAUUUAUCAUUACCUUUUCCAUGUAUGGCUCCUAUAAUGAUAAAAAAAAUCAAAUCCCCAGAUAUACAUGAUAAAGAUGGCAUGAAACAGGUAAAAUCAUCCACAGUAUGAUAAAAAUGUCCAUAUAUAUUCAAAGACACAACCUGGUGUCAGUCAUUUUAACCUGUCAUGUUAGAGGGCUUAAAUAAACAUUUUGGGAUUUUUUUGAUAUUUAUUUAAUAGUUGUAUUCAGUGGACCAUCAAUAGACCAAAAAACACUAUCCCAUAAAAAAAAACGAACUAAAUAGAAGUCAAGUACCCUGGGCGUCUAAAUACCAUAUUCAUAGCCUACUACACCACCCAAACUUUACAGCAAGUUCUUCGAAUACUGACAUCAAGAACAUAAACAAAAGUAACAUAAAUUUUUAUGACAUCUGAGCUUGCAAGUUGCAAUCUCAGCUUCAAUACAUAUCCAUCUCCUGACUUAGUUAUAUAGUAUGAACAGUUAGGGGAUUUAUUAAAAUUUCUUUGAAUAGAAACACUGUGAAAGGUAACUGGAAAUAGCAUUUCAAAAAGAAUUUGCAAAAUUAUACAGUUAGCAAACAGAAUAAAAGGCUGUACAAGCUCCAACUUACACGGCAAUCCAUAUGCCCCCAACCACAGGUAUGGCACCCCAAAGCAAUCCACACACAAGGGCCACUAUUUGCCUAAUCCAAUGCAAGACAUCACCCAAUUGAUCCUUGUCCCAAAAAGCCUCUGGAUCCAACAAUUUAGCAAAUUUGAAAGGAGACAAGUGGCCGUUUUGAUGUUGCUGUAGCUGGUGAUUAUUCAAUUUAGUCGAUUUACCUUCUUUCAUUGCUGGUCAAACCACCAAAAAAUAGAACUUUCCCAACAAAAAAGAAAGAAAAUCGAAUCUACAGCAAACAACAAAGUCCUUCUAGAAAUGAAUUUUCAGUUUGGAUUUGGGUACUGUGGGUUGAAAGGAUUGUUGAAGGCGGCAGUGAAGACGAACUAGGGUUGGAUUUUGUUGGAGAGAGAGAUUGGAUUUGAGGAAGAAAAUAAUAAUGCAAUCAAUCUCCACGACCCAAUUUACAGGGAG
rnacentral:misc_RNA from 1 species